AUUGGGGGAGUGUCGUAAUGACGAGAACCCAUUCGAGGCGAGAAUAGCCGGCCGCAUGGUUGGUUCACUUGACUCUGGGAGACAUUGAAAACGGAGUUAUUGAGGAAUCUUUAGGUUCGUACCCAGAACCGACACAGGUGCCCUAGUUGAGUAGACUUCGGUGUAUCGGGUAUAUAGUAGGCGAGGGAAUUCGGCAAAUUAGCCCCGUACCUUCGGUAUAAGGGGUGCCUGCUAUUUUUGCGAGAAGCAGGGAUAGCAGGUCGCAGUGACAAGGGGGUCCCGACUGUUUAAUAAAAACACAGGAAGCUGCUAGCCCGAAAGGGUGUGUAUAGCUUUUGAAUCCUGGCCAGCAACGGUACCUAAAACCUGGGUUCAACUGGGCUAAGGGCCGUUUAGCGCCGGGGGUAACUCUGACCCUCUUAAGGUAGCCAAAUGCCUUGUCGGGUAAGUUCCGACGUGCAUGAAUGGAACAACGAGGGCCCUACUGUCCCCGUCUACUACCCGGCGAACCCACGUAACGUGGACGAACAGUCCACGAACUUCUAUCGGGAAGAGAAGACCCUGUGGAGCUUUACUGCAGCUUGUUGUUGUGAUACGACUAUGAUUGCAGAGUGUAGCUGGGAGCUGUUAUGCACAUGCUUUUGGGUAUGUGAUAAGCGAAAGUGUAACACCAGCCUCUCAUAGUUUUAUCGCUAACCGGGAAACCGGGACACCGGCAGGUGGGCAGUUUGGCUGGGGCGGCACCCCCUUGAAAAAAUAUCGAGGGGGCCCAAAGGUCGGCUCAGGUGGGACAGAAAUCCACCGUAGAGGGCAAGGCUAAAAGCCGGCCUGACUGGGUUCUCAAAAGCACAGAACCCAGGAGCGAAAGCUUGGCCUAGCGAUCCUCCAGGUCCCCACUGUUGGGGGCUGAAGGUGACAGAAAAGUUACCCCAGGGAUAACAGGCUUGUCGCGGGUGAGAGCUCAAAUCGACCCCGCGGAUUGGUACCUCGAUGUCGGCUCUUCCCAUCCUGGUCCUGCAGCAGGGGCCAAGGGUGGGGCUGCUCGCCCAUCAAAGGGGAACGUGAGCUGGGUUUAGACCGUCGUGAGACAGGUCGGCCUCUAUCUGAUAGAAGCGAUGGCCGUCUGAGGGGAAGUUGUCCUCAGUACGAGAGGAACAGGGCAACGUAGCCUCUGGCGUACCGGUUGUCUGAUAAGGCAGUUGCCGGGCAGCUAAGCUAUUGAGGAUAAGAGCUGAAAGCAUCUAAGCUCGAAGCCUCUCCUGAGAAUAGACCGCCUUCCACAUUUCUACUUCUUUCGGGAAGUAGGUGUGGACAAGAGCUGGGAAAGAAGAUCCCGUUGAU
rnacentral:rRNA from 1 species